UCUGACCUCAAAUCAGGUAGGACUACCCGCUGAACUUAAGCAUAUCAAUAAGCGGAGGAAAAGAAACUAACAAGGAUUCCCCUAGUAACUGCGAGUGAAGCGGGAAAAGCUCGAAUUUAAAAUCUGGCGGCUCCGCCGUCCGAGUUGUAUUCUGGAGAA
rnacentral:rRNA from 1 species